CCCUUUUCUGACCCUGGAUUUUGGAUUCAAGUCUGCUCCCCUGGUGUGUUGCAUUUCUGGAUUGGACCAACGUGUAUGACCCUGGCCUGGAUUCUCACAAGAGCCUUCACUGCCCUCUGUCUCCAUAUUGACACCCCAAAGUCUACUCUCUUGGAGACUCCCCUGUGCAUCUGGCAGCAACACGUUUUCCACACCACCUUGAGCAUAAUAAACUGUAAAUAUCUAA